CCAAUAGCGUAUAUUAAAGUUGUUGCAGUUAAAAAGCUCGUAGUUGAACUUCGGGGUUUACCCAUUGGUCAGGCUUAAUUGUCUGUACUGGUGAGAUAAAUCUCUACCUUCUGAGGAACUUUCAUGUCAUUAAUUUGGUGUGAUUGGAAAUCAGGACUGUUACUUUGAAAAAAUUAGAGUGUUUAAAGCAGGCUAACGUCUGAAUACAUUAGCAUGGAAUAAUGAAAUAGGACGGACUGAUUCUAUUUCGUUGGUUUCUAGGAUCACCGUAAUGAUUAAUAGGGAUAGUUGGGGGCAUUAGUAUUCAAUUGUCAGAGGUGAAAUUCUUGGAUUUAUUGAAGACUAACUACUGCGAAAGCAUUUGCCAAGGAUGUUUUCAUUAAUCAAGAACGAAAGUUAGGGGAUCGAAGACGAUCAGAUACCGUCGUAGUCUUAACCAUAAACUAUGCCGACUAGGGAUCGGACGAAGUUAAUUUUAUAAUGACGCGUUCGGCACCUUACGGGAAACAAAGUGUUUGGGUUC
rnacentral:misc_RNA from 1 species